GUUUUCAAAAAUUUAGUUAAUACUAACUCACGAAGGACAUGGAGCUAAUUACAUUGUAAUUUUGGUUACUAAAUUACGUGUAGCAACAUGUAAAAAAUAGGUGUAAUUAGUGGUGAUAGGCUAAUCAAUAUGUCAGAUAUCUUGAUCCAUAGGAAAAAUAUUUAGUAUUCAAUUAGACUAGAAAUGGCUAGGUUUCUAGUUAACAUUAAAAUUAAUGUCCGAAGCAUCGGUUUUUGUAAAUAAUACUGUUUUUAUUCUCUUAUAACACUAUAUUGAUAAUUUAUGGAUUAUACUACGGCGUUUUUCUUAUUUAUUAAGAAAGAUUGUUAAUGAAAAUAUUAGUAUUAUCCAUAAAUUUUAAGAAGGAACUCGGCAAAUCUUUGCUCAACUGUUUAACAAAAACAUAGCUAAAUGAAAUUACGUUUGGUUUUUUCUGCUCAAUGAAUAAUUUAAAUAGCCGCAGUA
rnacentral:rRNA from 1 species